UACAGAGGUCUCAAGCGUUGUUCGGAUUCAUUGGGCGUAAAGGGCGCGUAGGCGGCGGGGUAAGUCGGGUGUGAAAUCUCAGAGCUCAACUCUGAAACUGCACUCGAUACUGCUUUGCUAGAGGACUGGAGAGGAGAUUGGAAUUCACGGUGUAGCAGUGAAAUGCGUAGAGAUCGUGAGGAAGACCAGUGGCGAAGGCGGAUCUCUGGACAGUAACUGACGCUGAGGAGCGAAAGCGUGGGGAGCGAACAG
rnacentral:rRNA from 1 species